rnacentral:rRNA from 1 species
UGGGGAAUAUUGCGCAAUGGGCGAAAGCCUGACGCAGCGACGCCGCGUGAGGGACGACGGCCUUCGGGUUGUAAACCUCUUUCAGCAGGGAUGAAGCGCAAGUGACAGUACCUGCAGAAGAAGCACCGGCUAACUACGUGCCAGCAGCCGCGGUAAUACGUAGGGUGCAAGCGUUGUCCGGAUUUAUUGGGCGUAAAGAGCUCGUAGGCGGUUUGUCACGUCGGAUGUGAAAACCUAUGGCUUAACCAUGGGCCUGCAUUCGAUACGGGCAGACUAGAGUUUGGUAGGGGAGAUUGGAACUCCUGGUGUAGCGGUGAAAUGCGCAGAUAUCAGGAAGAACACCGGUGGCGAAGGCGGAUCUCUGGGCCAAUACUGACGCUGAGGAGCGAAAGCGUGGGGAGCAAACA